rnacentral:rRNA from 1 species
AUUGAACGCUGGCGGAAUGCUCUACACAUGCAAGUCGAACGGCAGCACGGGGGCAACCCUGGUGGCGAGUGGCGAACGGGUGAGUAAUACAUCGGAACGUGCCCGGUCGUGGGGGAUAACGUAGCGAAAGUUACGCUAAUACCGCAUACGAUCUGAGGAUGAAAGCGGGGGACCUUCGGGCCUCGCGCGAUCGGAGCGGCCGAUGUCAGAUUAGGUAGUUGGUGGGGUAAAGGCCUACCAAGCCGACGAUCUGUAGCUGGUCUGAGAGGACGACCAGCCACACUGGGACUGAGACACGGCCCAGACUCCUACGGGAGGCAGCAGUGGGGAAUUUUGGACAAUGGGCGCAAGCCUGAUCCAGCCAUUCCGCGCGCAGGACGAAGGCCUUCGGGUUGUAAACUGCUUUUGUAUGGAACGAAAAGGCUCUGGCUAAUACCUGGGGCUCAUGACGGUACCGUAAGAAUAAGCACCGGCUAACUACGUG